UUCCCCCAGCCUUUAAAUAUAGACUGGCCUUUCAGUUUGAUCAGUACAAUGCAACAGAACUAACAGGAUGCCAGGUUGGCUUAGGUCUCAAGAUGUUUUGAGUCUUUCAUUCAUUUUCUUGGAAUUCCACUGAACCACCAAGGCUAACCUGCGGGAGGAUGAGGGACACAUGGACCAGAUCAGAGUUGCCCAGCUGAAACCAUCCUGGUGGCCUGGAAGAAGACUCAUGAGAAAUUUCCUUGAGAAUCAACUAAGCCUGGGCCAGUUUAAAUUCUGGCCCAUUGUGGAAGAUCACCCCUUACAGAAGACACGUCUGUCAAGAGGAACCCGGAGCUGUUUCCUUUGGAAGUAGUUUUGGACCAGGGCAUUUUGGUCCCACCCAUUACCCAAACUAAAUAGUAGUGCUGACGACACCCUCUUGGUGCUCAGGUAUAGGCUGGCUUCAGCACACCACUGGGAAUCAUCUGCUCCAGACUUUGUUGAUUUAAUUAAGUGACCUGCAGUGCAGCCCUCAUGGGAAUAUGUAAACACAAACCACAUAUAAGCUGAGGACUCUUGGCCUCUUGGUUUUUA